UGAGUUUUCAGCAAGAUUUUAUAAACGGAUUCAGUCUAUACUACAAGAAUUUAAGAGAUCCCAUGAAUUUUUUUAUAAGAGUAGGUAUCUGCACUGGCGUCCUUGGCCAAAUUUCCCCUGUUCUACUAUGGUGCAGUGUGUGCUGUACAUAUAUUAGUUAGUUGCUCCACUACAUAUCGGAGGUGUCUGCAUAUUUGGUGAUGUAUGGUUAUAUAGUAGUUGUAAAAACACUUGGUGUUCUUUGGGUUGUAAGAUGCUGAAUAAAAUGCAAACUCUGAUUCAUUACAGAUCUAAAGCAGAUUUAUAUGUAGUAGUGAAUAUAUUGCAAUUAUGUUAGCUGCUGUUUUGCUUCCGCCUGCCUCAAACCUGAUUGAAUGUUUGCUAUAUGCUGUGAAGUGCGCGCGCAUGUGUGUGUGUGUGUGAUAGAGAUAAGUAUACCUCUAUUUGUUUGUAUAUGGUAAUGUCCAAGAUAUUCAAGAAGAGAUGAUAGCUGUACUGAGAUGCUUACUGGGUAAGGAUCUUGUUUUCCAUGUGGAAUUAGUAUGGCAGUAACCUGUGAAUACUGUGUGAAUAAUUUUAUUUCCCAUAGGGUGU